rfam:Cloacibacillus evryensis DSM 19522 genomic scaffold CloevDRAFT_Scaffold1.1, whole genome shotgun sequence.
UCCAUCGUGAGGUGGAAUCUGAAGGAAGCCGGAGGCAAACCCUCGGUCCGACGAACAGGAACCGCAUGUGAGGCAUUAUGGGACGGACGAGUCUACCCCCAAGACAAAGUCCUACACUGCACGAAUCCCAUGGUGUAAAUGCGGCGGAUAUAUGAGGAGAAAGUUUAUGUG